UCAAGGAGUAGUUUAAGUAGAAUUUCAGCUUUGGGUGUUGAAGGUAAGACUUGGUGUCUUCUCCUUGA
rnacentral:tRNA from 1 species